rnacentral:rRNA from 1 species
GAGGAAUAUUGGUCAAUGGUCGAAAGACUGAACCAGCCAUGCCGCGUGCAGGAUGACGGCGCUAUGCGUUGUAAACUGCUUUUCUACAGGAAGAAACCUACCCUCGUGAGGGUAGCUGCCGGUACUGUAGGAA